CACGUAGGAGGCGAGCGUUGUCCGGAAUCAUUGGGCGUAAAGAGCGCGCAGGCGGCUUGACAAGUCGGGUGUGAAAUCCCGGGGCUCAACCCCGGGACUGCAUUCGAUACUGUCAGGCUAGAGGUAGGUAGGGGAGAUCGGAAUUCCUGGUGUAGCGGUGAAAUGCGCAGAUAUCAGGAGGAACACCGGUGGCGAAGGCGGAUCUCUGGGCCUUACCUGGCGCUCAGGCGCGAAAGCUAGGGGAGCGAACAGG
rnacentral:rRNA from 1 species